rnacentral:rRNA from 1 species
AUUGAACGCUGGCGGCAUGCUUUACACAUGCAAGUCGAACGGUAACAGGCCGCAAGGUGCUGACGAGUGGCGAACGGGUGAGUAAUGCAUCGGAACGUGCCCAGUCGUGGGGGAUAACUACUCGAAAGAGUAGCUAAUACCGCAUACGAUCUAUGGAUGAAAGCGGGGGACCGUAAGGCCUCGCGCGAUUGGAGCGGCCGAUGUCAGAUUAGGUAGUUGGUGGGGUAAAGGCUCACCAAGCCAACGAUCUGUAGCUGGUCUGAGAGGACGACCAGCCACACUGGGAUUGAGACACGGCCCAGACUCCUACGGGAGGCAGCAGUGGGGAAUUUUGGACAAAGGGCGCAAGCCUGAUCCAGCAAUGCCGCGUGCAGGAAGAAGGCCUUCGGGUUGUAAACUGCUUUUGUACGGAACGAAACGGCUCUGGUUAAUACCCGGGGCUAAUGACGGUACCGUAAGAAUAAGCACCGGCUAACUACGUG